rnacentral:rRNA from 1 species
CAGCAGCCGCGGGAAUACGAAGGGGGCUAGCGUUGUUCGGAAUUACUGGGCGUAAAGCGCACGUAGGCGGAUAUUUAAGUCAGGGGUGGAAUCCCAGAGCUCAACUCCGGAACUGCCUUUGAUACUGGGUAUCUUGAGUAUGGAAGAGGUGAGUGGAAUUCCGAGUGUAGAGGUGAAAUUCGUAGAUAUUCGGAGGAACACCAGUGGCGAAGGCGGCUCACUGGUCCAUUACUGACGCUGAGGUGCGAAAGCGUGGGGAGCAAACAGGAUUAGAUACCCGUGUAGUCCCUGUCUCUUAUAC